rnacentral:misc_RNA from 1 species
AACGCACAUUGCGCCCCGUGGUAUUCCGCGGGGCAUGCCUGUUCGAGCGUCAUUACACCACUCAAGCCUCGCUUGGUAUUGGGCGAUGCGGAUUCUCCGCACGCCUCAAAUCUUCCGGCUGGGUCUCGAUCGUCCCUUAGCGUUGUGGAAACUAUUCGCUGACGGGUGCACAAUCGGUCCACGCCGUUAAACAACCCCACUCAAAGGUUGACCUCGGAUCAGGUAGGGAUACCCGCUGAACUUAA